rnacentral:rRNA from 1 species
UACGGAGGGUGCAAGCGUUAAUCGGAAUUACUGGGCGUAAAGCGCACGUAGGUGGUGUUCUAAGUCAGCUGUGAAAUCCCCGGGCUCAACCUGGGACUUGCAGUUGAAACUGGAAAGCUAGAGUAGGGUAGAGGGGUGUGGAAUUCCAGGUGUAGCGGUGAAAUGCGUAGAUAUCUGGAGGAACAUCAGUGGCGAAGGCGACACCCUGGACUGAUCCUGACACUGAGGUGCGAAAGCGUGGGGAGCAAACAGG